AUGAAUCCAAGAGCAUUAUAUAUGCCAUGUGCUUGUCAUAGCCUAAAUCUCACUCUCUGUGAUAUGGCAAAAUCAUGUGAGAAAGCUGUUUCAUUUUUUGGAAUUGUUCAACGCAUAUAUGUAUUAUUUGCUGGCUCUACAAAAAGGUGGAAUGUUUUGCUUAAACAUGUUCCUAGUUUGACCGUGAAAUCAUUGUCCAAUACUCGUUGGGAGAGUAGAAUCAAAAGUGUUACAGCAAUAAGAUAUCAAGCCGCUGAGUUAAGGUCAGCUUUGUCUGAGUUACGUCAUGCUUCUGACACUGAUCCUAAAGAUAAAAGUGAUGCCAAAAUUUUAUUUGAUGCACUUGGUCGCUUUGAGUUUCUAGUUGCCAUGUGCAUUGACUCUGCUUUGAAGCAAAUAAAAGGUAUAACAAAUUAUUUUGAGAAGUACAGAGAUGAGGAGUUUUCUUCAAGUCUGACCAUCGCUAAAGGUAUUGCAACUGAAAUGGGAAUAGAGCCAUUGUUUCCAGUGAAACAGAAGGCUUUCCAAGUUAAAUAUUUUAAUGUUUUGGUUGAUAUGGCGAUCACUUCUUUGAAUGAUAGAUUUAACGAACUCAUGGUAUUUAAAGGUAUAUUCGGAUUUUUAUUGAGCUCGGGCACUCUCACGUCAUUAAGUGACAAUGAACUUGAAGAAUGUUGCACAAAAUUUGCAGAAACUUUCUCUCUUAAUGGUUCAUCUGAUGUUGAGGUAUACGAUCUUAUUUCUGAAUUGAAGAUUAUGAGAUUCACUUUGCCAGAUGGUGCAAUGUCUGCUAUGGAGAUUUUCAGGCAUGUUAGAGAAGUUGAUUGUUACCCCAAUAUAUCCAUUGCCUAUUGCAUCUUAUUUACUGUGCCUGUGACGGUCGCAUCGGCUGAGAGAAGCUUUUCAAAGUUGAAAUUAUUGAAGAAUUAUUUGAGGUCAACCAUGACUCAAGAGAGGUUAAAUGGUUUGGCCACAUUAUGCAUCGAGAAGAAAUUAUUGGAUGAGAUUGACAUCGACCCCAUCAUAAGUGACUUUGCAUCGAGGAAUGUUAGAAGAAAAUUUUAA
rnacentral:rRNA from 1 species